UGGAAAUGACAUACAACAAAAUGUAUAUAUAUUCAGAACUUCUUUCUAGAUUUACUUCUCAUUCAAAUUAUCUCCUUCAUUCUCCUUCUCACAGAUGCUGCCCUACAUGUGCUCAGGUCCCCCUCUUUUUCUAUCUCCCUCUCUUUCAUUCUUUCUUGAGCCUUUGCUGAUGCCUCAAACAAGUGCUGAGUCAGCUGUCCAGGGACGCCUGGGUGGCUCGGUUGGUUGGACAACUGCCUUCGGCUCGGGUCAUGAUCUCGGAGUCCCGGGAUCGAGUCCUGCAUUGGGCUCCCAGCUCCACGGGGAGUCUGCUUCUCUCUCUGCCCUUCUCCUCACUCAUGCUCUCUCUCCCUGUCUCUCUCUCAAAUAAAUAAA
rnacentral:lncRNA from 1 species